UUACAAAUAUUUAACCCCAUCCACAGGCUCACAGGUUAACCCUUGACCCCAAGCUGGCGGUGCUGCUUUGGGAGGUGGUGGAAGCUGUAGGAGGCAGGGCCUCAGUUGAGGAAGUGGGUCAGCAUGGCUCUGCAUUCUCAAGACACAACAAUCCAGAGGCAGUGACAUGAAUGCUUGCUCCGUGGACAGGUGGAAAAAUGACUGGGGAUAAAGGAUGGAUGAGAGCAGGACCUGCUGUCUCACAGCAGCGCCACACAGAACCCCACCUGCUGUGGAAUGCACACGAGCCAUUUUAGAGCAUGGGGGAAAUGUGGUAAAAUCCUUUAAAAUCUUCCUGACGAGUAAAUUCCUGGAAAGCAAUUAAUGUGGAAGGCUUUCAGGGACCAGAGGGAGUGGCAGAUAGCUUGAAUCCUGUUUCCUGAGUGGUCAGCCACGGACAUCACUCCAAACCAGGUAGCAAAGAGUGUGCUUUUUACAUCUCUGUUCUAGGAAGAACAUUUGCACAACUUCUAGCAACAUUCUUGGGUCAGUGGCCAUGACCCUGAGGCAAUGCUUAGCGCUACAGUGAUCGUUUGACUCCACACGGUACUACAAAAAGUGAAGCAGUGAAAGCCCUGGGCCACACCAACAAGCACGUGACAAGAGAGACGCUUGCUCAUACGACAGAGGCCUGCAUCCCUUAGGCAGAGUACUGACCAUGAUUGGAUGCGAAUGGAAGAAUGUCAACUAAGGAUUGUGUCUAUAUAGAAAAUCAUUAGCCAAACACCACAGGGCUAAUUAAUGUCAUUUGAAAUACUUUCUGUGUAUGUUGAAUAGAGUGCCGCCAUUAUCAUCUGGCCAAACGAAAUGCCUGCCCAUAAACAACAUGGAGCUAUUUAACAGGAUAGCUAAUUACAUCUCGUCUCACAGCCCCAACUGAUCCUAAGCAACAACUCCCUAAGCUGUGUUGUAGUGCAAGGUAGCCUAAGGCUCUGGGGCAGUUACUGAAUCAUGAGAUUUUACUGUUAGAACUUGUUCGGUGUGUUUAAAAACCACCAAAAUAUUGAAUGGAGUAAAGUUACUAGGGAGACCGCAGCUUGGAAAGAGGCAGAGGAGAUCAAGAUAGAGAGGGACACUUCAAAAGCCACGCUCGGGCUCACAGGCACCUGGCACGAAGCUAAGAAUGCUGGGGGAAUGGGAGGGAAAGUACCAAGCCCUGUGCUUUGCUCCAGGUCACCUGGUUCUAUGCGGCACCCUUGUGGGUGGCCUGUGGCAUCUAUGGCUGGAGGCAGCUGCAUGUGUUUCCAUGGUCUUCAGGUGGCAGGUUCUCUUUUUACCAAGCACUUUGUAUAAACUGUUCCCUUCAGCCUUCCUUCUUCACAUACAUUCUAUAGGAGGUUUAUUUUGGGCCCAAGGCGUGCUUCUCUCUGCAUUUGAUCUCAAAGCAAGCUCGUUGAAAAGAGGACCAGAGACCUAGACAAACCUUAUGGACUUGUGUCAUCCUUCUAUGUAUGCAAGAGACACAUUCCAGGUCCCCCCAUAGGCACCCAAGUUCUCACAUGCUCCGCUGUGGCAUUGCCAUAGAUCUGUACACAUCCCAGUGUGUGUAUUUUGAAUUGUCUCUAGACAAGUUUUGAUGAUAUUGCUGUGUCCAUGCCAGGGAGACAUUUGUUAAUGCUGCAUUGUGUUGGGGAUAAAGACAAGGGGAAAGCCACUCAUGCUCUGUGCAGAGGCAUUUUCAGUAAUCCCCCACCAUGGGGGAGGGAGGUCAGUUAAACCCUAGUGUCCAGGUUGGCUUUUUACUGCUGUGAUAAACACCAUGACCAAAAGCAAAUUGGGGAGAAAAGACUUCAUCUUAUGGCUUAUCGUGCAUCAUCCAGCAAGGCCAGGGCAGGAACUUGAGACAGGGACCUGGAAGGACGUACGAACUAAAGCAGAGACCAUAGAGGAAUGCUACUUACUCUCUUGCCUCCACUGCUUGUUCAUACAGCUCAGGACCACCUCCCACAACGAACUCCAUCCCCCAACCCACGUCCACCUUUAAUCAAGAGUCUUUCCUACAAACCAAUCUAAUGGAGGUAGUUUCUCAGCUGAGUGCUACUCCUCUACUAGUUUGUGUCAGGUUGACAAAUACUAACUAGCACCCUGGAUACAGCAGAUGUCAUGGAUACAAAGGGCUGGCUGCAGUGAUGGGACACUGGCCACCUUACUACCUUACUUCCUACCUACGAUGUGUCAAAGUCCAUCUCACUUUAAACCUAAAGGAGAAAAUAAUUUUGAAUAUUUUUCUUGAUUUUUUUCCCCAAAUGGGAUAUGGGAAAAAAGUACAACAUUACUGGGUCAUUAUUGUUCGUUUUCAGAACAAUGACAGAAUCUGAAAUCAUAUGGGAAAUGGACUCUGGGUUGGAACCCAGAACCUUGUCCCUCCCACUUAGGCAUGUGCUCUUACACUGAGCUACACCCUUGGCCUCAUACCUUCAUUUCUAAAAAUAAUGCCAAUGUGUAAUUGUGAGGAUUAAAGUAACAUGGAGACAAAUGAGUACACACUUCAUGUGCAUCAAAGCGGAGUCAUGCUAGGAAUUGCCUGGAGUGGACAUCUGUCUUAGGAGUUGCCAGGGAUGCUCAUAAUGACUCACAAAGUCUUCAGUGUGCUCCUUGACAUACAGUUUGUGUCACUGGUAUGGUCUUGGCCAGCUGCUCUCCAAUGUUUCCUCUAACUGGCUGCUCUCUGGACAUACCAUGAACCCCUCUGAGAACAAGCUUUUGCAGUGUAUCAGGGCCAACACCACUUGGCUUUUGAGAUGCUAUCUAUGUUUUCCAGCUACAGUGGUUUGUGACAUGCCUGGGCCUGUCCCAGUCUAUCCUAUGGAGACUGUUUACCUGCCUUUUUAAUGCUACAUACAUAUUCAGGUAAGCAGCCUGACGAUGAAUGAUGGCUGUAAGAAGCCAUUUCCAACAGUAGGUUGGGGUCUUGGUGGAUCUCAUGAUGCUCUUCUGUGGGGCUUCUGUAGACUUCAAGGACCAGUAAGCAGUUUUCACCCACAUGGGGGUAUGAGAUGUGAGAGGUGUUUUCUUGCUUUGUUCUCUUACAACUUUUCAAAUUAUAUGAAUGUAAUAAAAAGCAUACAUUAUUAAAAAUUUUAACUAGGUAUUUCACAUAUGGAGCUGUGAAGAAUUUCUUUUGGUGCCAAAAUGUCAUAAGGAAAAAAAGUAUGAGCUUUGUGAUUUGUGGACCUGCUAUGUAGGCAAUCUUUUUCAAAGUUGUAUUUUUCAAGAGGUGUUGGAACAUUUUUCUCCAUAAGGAUCACAGCCACAUUGCAGAGAACUUUCUAGAAAAGAAUUAAGAAUAUGCACCAAGAAACUCAUCACCACAACUGAGCACACAAUGAUUGCCACAUGAGACUCAGUCUUUAAAUGGGAUCCUUCUGAAGAGCAGAUUUCUUUGGGAGACAGGAUGAGGUAAAUAUGUAGAGACUAAUAUGACACAUGACUGUUUUGCAGGAUGACGCAACCAUGCAGUUGUUUUGUGAUUACCAAGCUCAUGAAGAAUGAACAAUAGACAUUGGAUGCAUUGGUUCAUGCUGUAGCCGCUGUAAUCAGGAAGCUGUGGGAGGAAGAACCCAAGUAGGAAGCCAAUCUGGAUACAUAGGGAUAGCCUGUCUAAGAAAACUAAAAAACUGUAUUCUGAAUACAACCCAAUGGCUUAAAGUAUCACUUAUAAGGAAACUGUAAACUUGCAAAACACUUAGAUUAUUUUUCUAAGGUUCCAAAGUAAGUGUAAUCGGUAAAGUUAAAAACUGUGGAGACAAUUAAGAGCAUGUAUGAGUCAGAUACUGGAAGCCUAGAAAGGAUCAAAAUUUAGAUCAAACAUGGGUUCUACUAAGGAUAUGCCCCCUAGCACUGUUUGGUCAAAGACCCACUAAUAUAUCCACCAAUAAUAAAGAGAACCUGUUCAAGUGUGUGUGUGCUGGAAUGACGCUCUUUGCUUUUCCAUUUUUUCCUGUCCAUUUGCCAGUACCAUUCCUUCUUAGUAUUUGUCGUGGUGGAAUGAUGUUCUGAGGACGUCUGAGGUUGGUACUAUGAGAGUUAUUUGUAAUGCUCAACUUGACACAGUGAAGGGAGGGUCAAUGUGGAAACUUCUGGGCUAGGAUGGCCUAUCAGGGGUGUUUGUGGGCAACUGUCAUGGUUACCUGCACAUGUGGGAAGAUCCGUGUGCAGCAUCUAUCUGUGACUUUGGAUCCUGAACUGUUGAGUGAUCAGAAAGUAGCUCAUUGAUUUCUGCUCCCAUUACUGCGUCUUCUCAGCUAUGUUGAACUGUGACCAGGAAUUGUGAGCCAAAAUAAAAAUUGCUUUUUAGGGUUCUUUAUCACAGCAACAAGAAAUAAAACUAAUCUAGAAACUGAACUUUAAGAAUUUAUUUAAACUCCACCUAGCCCAGAAGUUUCCACAUGGAUCCCAGCAGCCAGGAAAUGGAAGGAAAAAAUAUUCAUUCAUGGGGAGACAAUUAUACUUUCUUGAGCCACUGUACUUUCCGGAGUUAUGUCAUUUUACUGAAAUGGAGCCUUAUAAAUGGCAUAGCCCUGGUGUUUAAAAAUAAUGUAAUAUUCUUUGCAGCAUUCUUACAGAAUGAAUGAAGCACAGAUCCUGCUCAUUCUUCCUGUGUCCACUAUCCACACCAAAAGAAGAUCUACCCAAGUCGAAACCAUCACUCCAUCUGUUACUAUCACUCUUUGGAGUUCAGGACCCCAUCUGCUCCCAAGAGAGCAUGGUUGAAGGUCAGGGGUGGAGUCAGGAACAUUGGUUAGCAUGUUCAGCCCGAGUAGCUGCUGAGUCAGCAUCCAUUACAUCAUUUCUGCUCAUUCCCCAGGCCCUUCUCCAGGUCAUGCUGGACUCCUCCCUGCCAUGUGUCCUGCUCUUGGUGUCACCCUGUUCUUUGGCCCCAGUCUCCUCCUGCCGUCCUCAGAUGGAGGCAGACUCCAUGGAUGCCUGUCUUCUGUAUCUGGUAAACAGACACAGGAAAAUUGCUAGUUCAAAGUCAGCUAGAGCCACAAGGUCCCACUUCACAUUCUGAGUAACUGUCCCAGCUUCUGGAGAGCAAACAGAACAUGCUAAGGACCGUGACAUGGGAAGGUCAGUAGAGACAUCUAUUCUCCCAGUGAUGCUCAUACGGAAACAAUGUGUGACUGAAGUCAAAUGGAAAUACAAAAGCGUAUUUAUUCCUGGUCUAUGCAGUUCCUUGGACACCUGAUACCUCUCUCCUGCUAACAAGAGUUUCAACAAUGUUCACACACACAGAUGCCCCCAACUGGAGACAUAUCUAUAAAAAAAAUCUAUGAUGAAUUUUACUUGGAGCUAUAACAGCAAAAGUUCAAACAAUAUGCAUUCUUGAAAAACAGAAGAGUAAAAAAUAAAAGAUUACUGUAAUAUCCCAAACAAACAGAGAAGUGGUUGAUAUAUUUCUCUGAAGACUCUGGCUUGAUUCAUGUGUCCCACAGAGCACCAGGGAUCAGGUACCAAUAGGCUGGGUCUCAAGACUUUAGAGUCCCGAGGGUGCAGGGCGUGAGGAGACAAGGUUGAGCUGUAUGAAACAUAAUAGAAAACUUAAAAAUGAAACGAAGAGCGAAACAGCAGAAGUCAAGCAAAUGGCGGACACGGAGAGACACAGUAAGAAAAUGGCAACAUAUUUAGAUGUUGCUGCCUGCCGUGUGCUGUGGCUGCUGUGGCUACUGCUGUGGGACCAAGAGUGUUGUCUGGAAGGACAGAACACAGCACUGAAAAAUUUUGGUUUCAUGGAGGAAAAGAAGUUAAAGGAGAGAUGGUGUGGAGGAGAGAUGUGUGAAAAUAACAAAGGAAUAUAAAGAGUCAUCAACAAGAUCACGGGUGAGACACUGAAGUAGGAAAGCAACCCAUUCAUUCUAGAAUAAAAAUAGCAUCACACAAGUAUAAAGAAGACUCACCCCAGUGGAGAAAUGGGCCCUCUGGGCAUCAAGAAGGGGCAGGUACUUGGGAAUGCGCCCCCCCAACCCCCGAGCGCCCCAGUCUUUGUACCUUUCUGUUGACAAAGGCCCAGCUUCCCUGCAGCUCAACGAACACUUGCUGUUUGAGGCUAAACUGGGAACCAGAUGAAAAAAAGAGGAGUAACCGACCAGCAUCUAAACAAACAAGAAUAAAUUAC
rnacentral:sRNA from 1 species